rnacentral:rRNA from 1 species
UACGUAGGGGGCAAGCGUUGUCCGGAUUUAUUGGGCGUAAAGAGCGUGUAGGCGGCCUUACAGGUCAGCUGUGAAAACUCGAGGCUCAACCUCGAGACGUCGGUUGAAACCGUAUGGCUAGAGUCCGGAAGAGGAGAGUGGAAUUCCCGGUGUAGCGGUGAAAUGCGCAGAUAUCAGGAAGAACACCCGUGGCGAAGGCGGCUCUCUGGGACGGUACUGACGCUGAGACGCGAAAGCGUGGGGAGCGAACAGG